CAGCAGCCGCGGGAAUACGGAGGGUGCAAGCGUUAUCCGGAUUUAUUGGGUUUAAAGGGUCCGUAGGCGGACUUAUAAGUCAGUGGUGAAAGCCUGUCGCUUAACGAUAGAACUGCCAUUGAUACUGUAAGUCUUGAGUAUAUAUGAGGUAGCUGGAAUAAGUAGUGUAGCGGUGAAAUGCAUAGAUAUUACUUAGAACACCAAUUGCGAAGGCAGGUUACCAAGAUAUAACUGACGCUGAGGGACGAAAGCGUGGGUAGCGAACAGGAUUAGAGACCCGAGUAGUCCCUGUCUCUUAUAC
rnacentral:rRNA from 1 species